rnacentral:rRNA from 1 species
GAGACAUCAGUCGCCGCGGUAAUACGAAGGGUGCAAGCGUUAAUCGGAAUUACUGGGCGUAAAGCGUGCGUAGGCGGUUUGUUAAGUCUGUUGUGAAAUCCCCGGGCUCAACCUGGGAAUGGCAAUGGAUACUGGCAAGCUAGAGUGUGUCAGAGGAUGGUGGAAUUCCCGGUGUAGCGGUGAAAUGCGUAGAGAUCGGGAGGAACAUCAGUGGCGAAGGCGGCCAUCUGGGACAACACUGACGCUGAGGCACGAAAGCGUGGGGAGCAAACAGGAUUAGAUACCCGUGUAGUCCCUGUCUCUUAUAC